GCCUCUGUAGCUCAGUUGGUUAGAGCGCUGCACCGGAAUCGCAGGGCGCAGGUUCGAUUCCUGCCAAGGACC
rnacentral:tRNA from 1 species